GGGUUGUGAGGUUAAGCGACUAAGCGUACACGGUGGAUGCCCUGGCAGUCAGAGGCGAUGAAGGACGUGCUAAUCUGCGAUAAGCGUCGGUGAGGUGAUAUGAACCGUUAUAACCGGCGAUUUCCGAAUGGGGAAACCCAGUGUGUUUCGACACACUAUCAUUAACUGAAUCCAUAGGUUAAUGAGGCGAACCGGGGGAACUGAAACAUCUAAGUACCCCGAGGAAAAGAAAUCAACCGAGAUUCCCCCAGUAGCGGCGAGCGAACGGGGAGGAGCCCAGAGCCUGAAUCAGUGUGUGUGUUAGUGGAAGCGUCUGGAAAGGCGCGCGAUACAGGGUGACAGCCCCGUACACAAAAAUGCACAUAUUGUGAGCUCGAUGAGUAGGGCGGGACACGUGGUAUCCUGUCUGAAUAUGGGGGGACCAUCCUCCAAGGCUAAAUACUCCUGACUGACCGAUAGUGAACCAGUACCGUGAGGGAAAGGCGAAAAGAACCCCGGCGAGGGGAGUGAAAAAGAACCUGAAACCGUGUACGUACAAGCAGUGGGAGCCUCUUAAUGGGGUGACUGCGUACCUUUUGUAUAAUGGGUCAGCGACUUAUAUUCUGUAGCAAGGUUAACCGAAUAGGGGAGCCGAAGGGAAACCGAGUCUUAACUGGGCGUUAAGUUGCAGGGUAUAGACCCGAAACCCGGUGAU
rnacentral:rRNA from 1 species